GUGUGGUUCAUGUCUAGCAUACAUCGCUCUAUGUGAAUUUCUCGUCAAUAUAGAAUGUUUGGCGAUAUAACCAGGCUUGUAGGCAUUUUGUUGUGGCAUAUAUGCUUACUCAAACCAGUUGGAUAUGGAAUUGGCCCAGCUGCGCAAGGAGAACCAGAUGCUCAUCCAGCGGCACAUGGAUCUCAUAAACAAAUCUUGGGUUCAUAAAUGGGAGAAGCACAUAAGGGAGAAGAAGAUGAUUGCAAGGAUGGAGAGGGAGCAAAUCAUUUGGAGGGAUAGAAUGCCACUGUUUGGUGUUUUUAUGCAUUUUUGUUUGCUUUCAACUGUGUUUGC